rnacentral:rRNA from 1 species
GAUGAACGCUGGCGGCGUGCCUAACACAUGCAAGUCGAGCGGCAGCGAGGGGUGCUUGCACCCUGUCGGCGAGCGGCGGACGGCUGAGUAGCGCGUGGGAACGUGCCCCAAAGUGAGGAAUAACUGCCCGAAAGGGUAGCUAAUACCGCAUAUUAUCUUCGGAUCAAAGGAUUUAUCCGCUUUGGGAGCGGCUCGCGUCGGAUUAGGUAGUUGGUGAGGUAAUGGCUCACCAAGCCGACGAUCCGUAGCUGGUCUGAGAGGAUGACCAGCCAGACUGGAACUGAGACACGGUCCAGACUCCUACGGGAGGCAGAAGUGAGGAAUCUUCCACAAUGGGCGAAAGCCUGAUGGAGCAACGCCGCGUGCAGGACGAAGGCCUUCGGGUUGUAAACUGCUUUUAUAAGUGAGGAAUAUGACGGUAACUUAUGAAUAAGGAUCGGCUAACUACGUG